UACGUAGGGGCAAGCGUUGUCCGGAUUUAUUGGGCGUAAAGAGCGUGUAGGCGGCCAGGUAGGUCCGUUGUGAAAACUGGAGGCUUAACCUCCAGCUGUCGAUGGAAACCAUCUGGCUAGAGUCCGGAAGAGGAGAGUGGAAUUCCUGGUGUAGCGGUGAAAUGCGCAGAUAUCAGGAAGAACACCCGUGGCGAAGGCGGCUCUCUGGGACGGUACUGACGCUGAGACGCGAAAGCGUGGGGAGCGAACGG
rnacentral:rRNA from 1 species